CCUCAUCCAUUCAUCUGUUGAUGGGCAUCUAGGUUAGUUCCAUAGCCUAGCUAUUGUGAAUCGUGCUGCUGUAAACAUGGAUGUGGCUGUUUAACUCCUUCGGAUAUAUACCAAAGAGUGGGAUAACUGGGUCAAAUGGUGGUUCCAUUCCUAGUUUUUUGAAGAAUCUCCAUACUGCUUUCCAGAGUGGUUGCACUAAUUUCCAGUCCCACCAACAAUGUAUUUUCCCCACAUCCUCAACAAUGUUUAUUGUCACUCAUAUACUUGACAGUUGGUGUUCUGUUUGGAGUGAGGUGAAAUCUC
rnacentral:lncRNA from 1 species